UUCUGAGAAGGGUUCAAGUGUGAGCAUACCUAUCGAGACCCGAAAGUUGGUGAAAUAUGCCUGAGCGAGGCAAAGCCAUAGGAAACUCUGGUGGAGGACCGCAGCGAUACUGACAUGCAAAUCAUUCGUAUGACUCUCUUUGUCGAGCCGUGCCACAAAAUCAAGAGCUCCAAGUGGGCCAUUUUUGGUAAGCAGAACUGGCUAUGCGGGAUAAAUCAAAAGUCGGGUUACGGUGCCAAACUACACGCUAACCUAGAUCCCGCAAAGGGUGUUGGUCGAUUAAGACAGCACAACGGUGGUCAUGGAAGUCAAAAUCUGCUAAGGAGUGUGUAACAACUCACCUACCGAAUUAACUAGCCCCGAAAAUGAAUGGCGCUUAAGCGCGUGACCUACACCCGACGUCGGGGAAAGUUCCAGGCCCCGAUAAGUAGGAGGGCGCAAUGGUCGCUACAAAACCUUGGGCGCGAGCCCAGGAAGAGCGACGUUCGGUGCAGAUAUUGGGGGUAGUAGUAAAUAUUCAAAUGAGAACUUUGAUGGCCGUUGAGAGGAAAGGUUCCAUGUGAACAACACUUGCACAUGGGUUAGUCGAUCCUAAGGGUCAGGGGAACCACGACAGAUAGCGCGUUUUGUGCGUACUCCAAAAGAGAAUAGGGUUUAAAUUCCUGGACUGGGAUGUGGCGGUCGAAGGCAAUGUUAGAAUGUCUGGUGACGUAGGCGGGAGCCUUAGGAAGAGUAAUCUUUUCUGUUUUACAGCCUGCCCACCCUGGAAUUGGCUAAUCCGGAAGUAAGGUCCAGCAGCUGGAAGAGCAUCGCACGUCGCGCGGUGUUUGGUGCACUACCAGCGUCCUUUGAAAAUCCAGAGGACCGAUUGCCGUCCAUGCUAGGUCGUACUCAUAAUCACAUCAGGUCUCAAAGGGGAACAUCCUCUGAUUGAUGGAACAAUAUAAGCAAGGAAAGUCAACAAAAUGGAUCCAUAACUUCUGGAAAAGGAUUGGCACUAAGGGCUGGGCACGGGGGUCCCAAUCCCGAACCCGUCGACUGUCGGUGGACUACUCGAGCUGCUUCCACAGUGAGAGCGGGUCGCCACGUGCCAGUUGGGGGAUAGACUAGGAACGGUUCCUUCGGGGGCCUUCCCCGCGCGUCGAACAUCCAACUCAGAACUGGUACGGAUAAGGAGAAUCCGAAUGUUUAAUUAAACAAAGCAUUGCGAUGGUCCUAACGGAUGUUCACGCAUUGUGAUUUUUGCUCAGUGCUCUUAAUGUCAAAGUGAAUAAAUUUAACUAAGCAUGGGUAAACGGCGGGAGUAACUAUGACUCUCUUAAGGUAGCCAAAUGCCUCAUAAUCUAAUUAGUGACGCGCAUGAAUGGUUUAAAGAGAUUCCCACUAUCCCUGUCUACUAUCCAGCGAAGCCACAACCAAGGGAAUGGGCUUGGCAGAAUCAGCGGGGAAAGAAGAACCUCUUGAGAUUGACUCUACUCUGACUUUGUAAAAUGACUUGAGAUGUGUAGUAUAAGUGGGAGCCGAAAGGCGAAAGUUAAAUACCACUACUUUUAAUGUUAUUUUACUUAUUCCAUGAAUCGGAAGCGGGGCACUACCCCUCUUUUUGGACCCAAGGCUCGCUCUGCGGGUCAAUCUAGGCAGAAGACAUUGUUAGGUGGGGAUUUUGGUUGGGGCGGCAUAUCUGUUAAAAGAUAACGCAGGUGUUCUAAGAUGAGCUCAACGAGAACAGAAAAUCAUGUGGAACAGAAAGGUAAAAGCUCAUUUGAUUUUGAUUUCCAGUAUGAAUACGAACCAUUAAAGUGUGGCCUAGCGAUCCUUUAGACCUUCGAAAUUUGAAGUUAGAGGUGUUAGAAAAGUGUUACCAUAGGGAUAACUGGCAUGUUGCAGCUAAGCGUUCAUAGCGAAGUUGCUUUUUCAUCCUUUGAUGUCGGCUCUUCCUAUCAUUGUGAA
rnacentral:rRNA from 1 species